GUGGCAGUCUUUGAUGGUUGUAGCACUGAGCAGUAGCUUCCAACUGAUGCGACUCCACACAGAUUGAUGCUGGUUCCUGCCGACAGGGUCUGUAAAGCCGUUGGUUUUCCUGUGCGAUGGUGCCACACAUU